rnacentral:rRNA from 1 species
CACGUAGGGGCCAAGCGUUGUCCGGAUUUAUUGGGCGUAAAGAGCUCGUAGGCGGUUCGACAAGUCGGGUGUGAAAACUCCGGGCUACAACCCGGGAGAACCGCCACCCGAUACUGUCGUGACUGGAGUCCGGUAGGGGAGUGGGGGAAUUCCUGGUGUAGCGGUGAAAUGCGCAGAUAUCAGGAGGAACACCGGUGGCGAAGGCGCCACUCUGGGCCGGUACUGACGCUGAGGAGCGAAAGCAUGGGGAGCGAACAGG